rnacentral:lncRNA from 1 species
GUGCUGCAGCCGCUGCCGCCGAUUCCGGAUCUCAUUGCCACGCGCCCCCGACGACCGCCCGACGUGCAUUCCCGAUUCCUUUUGGUUCCAAGUCCAAUAUGGCAACUCUAAAGGAUCAGCUGAUUUAUAAUCUUCUAAAGGAAGAACAGACCCCCCAGAAUAAGAUUACAGUUGUUGGGGUUGGUGCUGUUGGCAUGGCCUGUGCCAUCACCGUCUUAAUUUGGUCCAGCGUAACGUGAACAUCUUUAAAUUCAUCAUUCCUAAUGUUGUAAAAUACAGCCCGAACUGCAAGUUGCUUAUUGUUUCAAAUCCAGUGGAUAUCUUGACCUACGUGGCUUGGAAGAUAAGUGGUUUUCCCAAAAACCGUGUUAUUGGAAGCGGUUGCAAUCUGGAUUCAGCCCGAUUCCGUUACCUAAUGGGGGAAAGGCUGGGAGUUCACCCAUUAAGCUGUCAUGGGUGGGUCCUUGGGGAACAUGGAGAUUCCAGUGUGCCUGUAUGGAGUGGAAUGAAUGUUGCUGGUGUCUCUCUGAAGACUCUGCACCCAGAUUUAGGGA